GACGAACGCUGGCGGCGUGCUUAACACAUGCAAGUCGAGCGAUGAAGCUCCUUCGGGAGUGGAUUAGCGGCGGACGGGUGAGUAACACGUGGGUAACCUGCCUCAUAGAGGGGAAUAGCCUUCCGAAAGGAAGAUUAAUACCGCAUAAGAUUGUAGUUUCGCAUGAAACAGCAAUUAAAGGAGCAAUCCGCUAUGAGAUGGACCCGCGUCGCAUUAGCUAGUUGGUGAGGUAACGGCUCACCAAGGCGACGAUGCGUAGCCGACCUGAGAGGGUGAUCGGCCACAUUGGGACUGAGACACGGCCCAGACUCCUACGGGAGGCAGCAGUGGGGAAUAUUGCACAAUGGGGGAAACCCUGAUGCAGCAACGCCGCGUGAGUGAUGAAGGUCUUCGGAUUGUAAAACUCUGUCUUUGGGGACGAUAAUGACGGUACCCAAGGAGGAAGCCACGGCUAACUACGUG
rnacentral:rRNA from 1 species